UCUACAGGUUGUGUCCUUUUGUGAUGUAGAUCAAAGUAAGAUAACAAAGGGUUUCUACACUUAUCAAGAGUCAAAGGACAAGCCAAAGCCAAAAGUUCCUAUUUUUCAUUUUACACAAGCCAAGCCCCCUUUCAUCAUCUGUGUGAAACUGGACCUGACAGGUGGAGGAUUUGAAGGAAACUUGAAUUCGCUGAAAUUGACGGAAGGAUUGGACUACUAUCAUUUCAGUUAAGGACCCGUGCUACUACUAUUAUAUGGUUGACUACACCGGUGCCUGCAGGAAGAUAGAAAAUCAUUUUGUCUCAUUAUGGAUUUUAUUACAGUUAAUUCAACAUGCAGUUGAGUUUGUCUGAGAAGACUUUUUAGUGGUGCCUUGUGCUUUCGAUAAUGUUUCAGGGGCAGGGUUCAUGUCUGCAGUUGAACUCAUAGAUCGCACAGAACUAAGUGUCUAAGUGCAUUAAAAAUUACCAGAUAAUUCUAUUCACAAGAAUAGAAGUGCUCUUCCAGCAGAACCUCUUAAACCCACGACCACUACCCUCUAGAAGGACAAGGGCAGCAGAUACAUGGGAACACCACAAAGUUACCAUACAAGACACUCACUGUCCUGCCUUGGAAAUAUAUCGCAGCUGAUUCAGUGCUGCUUUGCCAAAAACAUAAAAUUCACUUCCUAAUGCAUUGUGGGUGUAUCUACGUCACAAAGACUUCAGCAGUUCAAGAAGGCAGCUCAUCACCACCUUCUCCAGGACAAUUGGAGAUGACCAAUAAACGCUUGUCUAGCCAUCAAUACACACAUCCCAUGAAUGAAUACAGAAAACAAACUUGCACUUUAGAACAUUCUUCACAACCCAUGCGUGUCUCACUUUAAAGCCAUUUUUUUAGCUGUAUUCUAGCCAGCUUCUUCUGAGAAAUUUAUUUUAUCGAUACACUUUCUAGCACCAUUGUUUACAGCAUUGAUCAGACUCAGGGGAUUUCUUUCAUGGCUACCUUCCUGCAAUAUUGUAUUUUGAAUGGUCUUCAAUGUAAAUUUACUAAUAAAAUUUGACAGUGGAAAGAAACUAUGAUCAGGGCAAAAGCUAUCAACACUAUAAUAUGGUGUAGUAUUCCAAAAUGAAAGGGUUGCAAGCAGGUAGAAAUGCUAAAUCACACACAGAGAUCCCGCAGUUUGUAACAGGUUCUUGUUCUGUUAGAAAUCCACCCAGUUUAUGCUGGCCUUUAAAUGCAAGCAAGAACUGACUGUGGGGGGUUGAAUCUAAAGAUCCACUUCCAGUCUUCCCAUUUCAAAGGAGUUCUUUGGCUCUGUUUUGAAAAGCCCUAAACCAUGAGCAGGAAAUGUAAUCAAUUCCAAAAGGAUUCCGCAGUCUUGGCAACACAAGGUUGAGAAACAUCAUUUUUCUCCCAAGCCACUCCAGGUCUACACUCUUCCUGCCAUGAGAGAGUGGAAUGGGACCACUCUGGUGGUUUGUGUAAUGUGUCUUUGAAACAAUCCUGUUGGUGGUAUGUAACCACUACUCCAGUUUCAAUGGGAACAGCUCUUUCAUUCAUGAGUGUGCCUGCUCUGCAGACUCUGAUGACUACACCAUAGUACUGAUGAAAUGCUGUAAGAAUGCAGUGUUCACAUUCAGGCAUCACUCACUUAGAUCACACACAUUCAGAACUACCACAUGGCUUUUCUUGCCAAAUUUGGAGAAUGAAUAGCCCUUGCAAACCCUGGAUAAUUGCAGCCGAGGCCUUGUCUAUCAUCUUGAACGCUUUCUGGGCAGUUAUACAUGUGACAUAUCACUCAAGGAGGCCAGAAUCAAACUGGUUGAGCAGCCUUUGGUGUAGGUGACAAUAAGGUGUGUUUGAAUUAUUGCACAAAAGAGAGAAUAAGAAAGCAGACUCCGGUCUUGCACACUCACACACAUGUAUUUUUGCAACUAUAUUAGCGACUUAGUUUUGUUUAAGUAUAUGUGACAAUUUUUGUUGCUGUCUGUUAUUCUGUUGACCUCAUGGCUAGAGUGGUAAUAGGUAUUCACAAGCCUUCCACGAAGUACCUGGUGUCUCUUUCCAUUCUGAAAGAUGUCUCUUCUGCCUUUCAUUCCUGGAUGUGUCUAUUUAUGUGCGUUAGUCAAUGUACAUAAUUUGCU